rnacentral:lncRNA from 1 species
UUAGGGAACUUGUAUUACAUCAACAUAUUUCAUUUAAAUGCAAAAUUCUAAGAUUCGAAUAAGCUGGCAGAUUUGCUAUUCUAUUGCUUCCCAAAACUCAUAACUUCAGCAACACCUUGAGCACUAAAUUAAGCAGCAGUAGGCACAGAAAUUUUUAGCUCAGAAUGACGACCUUAACAGUAGAAACAAAGCAUUGAAAUCACAGCAAUAUUUAGUCAGAAUAACCACAAAAUACAGUUGAAUAGUGCAAGAUCUGCUUUAAAAAAACAGCUCAAAACUUGAAUAUCAAUAAUGUAUUGUUAGCAUAUAAACUAAAGCAACACAAUUGGGUUAAAUGAAGUGAAAACUUUUGCAAAAUUUCAUCAACUGGUAAGAAAAACAAUAGUAACAACAAUCAAUUAGAGAAAUUUGGAAAUCUUCAUUUUUGAGUGAAAAAUAAACAAUGCAGGGUUGUGGACAGCAAGUAUGAAAUCCUUUAUAGCAACAGAAAACAAGCAGCAAAUUAUUUUCCAGCAAACAUGCAGCUUCUGUCAGCAUAUUCUAACCAACUGGUCAAUAGUAUAUAUAACAAGAGAACUCAAUUCAACAAGGAGAAAUUUUAGAAGUAAAAACCAGAUUUCAAACUAUCACUGCUAAACUUGAGUACAGUCUCAACUAACAUAGAUUUCCGACAGAUUUAGCUUACAGUAUGUUCGACCAAAUCACAAUUCAAGCAUGUUCAAUCUCUACUCCCACUGAAUCCCCUCCAUUAAACUUAACAAUAACAACAACUAUUAGAAACCAGUGGUAACAAGUUCAAAUAUGAGAAUUUCAUCUAUCAAUUUACUCCAAAAACUUCACAAAUAGUGUCAAACUUCAACAAGACAAGCCUCAGAACUCCGCAAUCUUAGCACAAAUGUAAUUGGCCCACGAACAAUUCAUAGAUUGAAUUAAAAUCACAAUACAAUGCUCUAAAAAACAAAGACUGAUCUCAACAUAACUCUAACCAUUUCAAUAGUAGAGUCCAUUGACACAACUCAAUUCGUACAAUUUCCAACAAGCAACUUCAUAAUUCUAAAACUAACCUAUGUGGCUAAAAGUGGCUAAAAGUGGCUAGAAGUGCAAUAUCUGGCUAUGACCCCGCAAAGCCAAGAACGUAAGAUUUACUAGGAAGACCGGACCCUAUGUGGGUUGCCUAAGUAUCACGCCUCGAAAUACGAGAAUCAGGUUUGCGUAGUUCGAGCAGAUUAGAUACAUGCGAGAAUUAAAAAAAAUAACUAAUUUAGAUAAAAACAUUAUUUUUCUGCUUUUUCUUGUAAAAUGUUGAAACAUGCAAAAUCUUUUGAAUUUUCUUUUUUCCUUUUUUUAUUUUUUAAGAAAUGAUAAAAGGUGCAAAAUCCUUUUUUUUAAAUUUUUCAUGUAUUUCUUUUUUUUUUUUAAAUGUAACAAAAACAUUACUAGACCCUACUUGAUUUAUUUUAACACUUCACCCUCUCUUUCCUUUUUUUCAUUGUUUUUCUUUUCUUUUUUUUCAUUUUUUCAUUUAUCCUCAGCUAUCAUUGGUCCGCCAAAUGACCCUUUUGCCCUUGAAUAAAUGCAACAUGUAGCACAUAGGAUGCAUCAAGAUGGUCUGUUAUUUUGGGUACACCUGUCCUAGACAAACCCAACCCUUGUGUUGAGUCCCCUAAGUCAAAUGCACGUGAUGCAAACAAACAUUCCUACUAGGGAUCCGGCAUGAGACUAAGUUAUUCUAGGUUCAAAACUGGGCAUUUGUUCUAGGCUUGUGUACCCGAGCGGACAACUCGAGUCGAGGAGAGGGCUACGUACCGAGAACUAAAAGUCCAUCCGGCUUAGUAACGGCUUGAGGCUUUGUUAUACUAGGUUCAGAACCUGGGUAUUUGUUCUAGACUGUGUACCCAAGCGGACAACUCGAGUCGAGGAGGGGGCUAUGCACCGGGGACCCGCAAGAUCAUUCGGCUUAGUAGCUUGUCCGAGCCUCUUUCUUAUUUCAAGGUAUAACUCUAACAGAAUAGGGAGUCUCGACCAGCGAGCACAUUCCUGUAGAUAAGAAGAGAAGGGUUUCGCAACAGUUUAUAUGUACAAUUCAAAUAAUAUCAAAGAGAUAAAAGAAUCGCUUUGCAUAUUAAGUCAGCAUGUAAAAUCAGAUAAUAAACAAAGCCAAAUACAAUAAUUAUUCUAAGCUCGAAUUCUUGAACCAUGCACCAAAGAUUCUGGGUUCGAUUCCCCAGCAGAGUCGCUAGAGCUAUCACACCUCCUUUUGACUACUACAACCCCGUGAAAGGCGUAGUUAAGGGAGUUUUUUUCAAUUAAAGGACAAUCGAAACGGGAUCUAAUUACUUAAGAGAUUUUCAGAGUCACCACUUGGAAGAUUUAGGGUGUCCCAAGUCACCGGUUUAGAAUCUCGAAUUGAGGAAAAAAUUACUCUGUUUAACAGUCCCUGAACUAGAAAUCCGAGUAAAGAAUUCUGUUAUCCCGAGAGAAGAUGUUAGGCAUUCCCGGGUUCCGUGGUUCUAGCAUGGUCGCUCAACUGUCAUAUUCGGCUUAAUUACCUGAUUUUAUAGAAUUAUAAACCUAUAUGAAAAUAUUAACUUCUAGCCGCUUAUUUAUUUUUUUAAAGAGAAUUUUAGAAUCGUUGAAACAUGUCUCGAACCACGUUACAUAAAUGCACCCGUGAUUUUUUACACAUUUCAACUUCGUUGGGAUUUGGAUUUGGAUCACAUAAAUGCGCACCGAAGUUUAGGAAGAUAAAUUAUUAAAACAACGUGCCUAAAGCAACUACCAUAUUUAUGAAUAUGAAGGGUCUAAGCAUGUUCCUUGCCACCCAAAUAAUAAAAUCAGCAUUAAAAUUACAAAGAUCCAUUUAUACUCAAUUCUCACUUCAUUCUUAUAUCAAAACCAAACUUUUUUCCUUUCUUAAGCUUGACCGAUAUCAAUCCUUAGCUCUUAUUUCAGCAUGAUCCCAAUCAUUAAUGGAAGGUUUAUAACAAAAUCAGUUAUAUAACCUUUGCCAUCAAUCCAAGUGGAGAGUAUAUUUGUAGGAUGAUCAUUUGAUUCUUUCUUUAACCUUGGUAAAUAAUGUUUCUCAUGUUUCUUUGCAAAUUCCAGCACAAGAAUUAACAUGAAUGUAAUCGUUUAAGAGAAAUAUUGGACAAGUGCUAAUCUCUAGGUGCCUAAACAUAUGGAUAACUUCAACAAUUGUGCAAUAAAUUCACCUCGGGCUACAAGUGCAAAAUACACUCAACCCAAACACUUAGCAUAUGCAACAUAUCAAAUAGAGAGAUUAAGGAUCAAGAGAAUUGGACCUUUAUUGCUUUAGUGUAAACGGGUUACAACAGCAACUAUGAGCGUAAGACUAGACCUCGACCGGAACGGAAUCUAACGGCUGUCACCUCGACGGACAGUACCAAAGAGCUUCAAACCUUGCGCGGGGAAUUACUCUCCAGUGACCUCAACUCCACGUAAAUUUAAGAUCCUAAGGCAGCCCGGCAGCUGCGUUUAUUGAUUUGUUUUCCGGCGAUCUUGGUGGACUGCGUCGAAGUGAUUGCUGGUUAAGGGUGUGAUGGUGAGGCUCUUUGUGUGGAGGUGGAGGCUGUGUGUUUUGGUUUAGGGGAUCCUUCUCUAGGUUAAGGCGAUGAAGAAGAUAUGCUAAGGUUUUCGAGUUGUGAAUGGAGAAGAAGAAGAAGCUUAAGCUUCAUGGAAAACGAGUUUGUUGGUUUCGUUUCAAUGAGGAAGAAGCUCAUGGUGUGUUAUGACUGAAGCUGUGUCGAUCUAUAGCUGCUUCUUCUCUAUAUUAAGCCCCUUUCAUAGCUGAAGAAUUCUUCUCUUUUGAAGAAGAAGAAGAAGAAGAACGACGUGAGGAAAUUUUCACUGUUGCGGCGCUCCCUCCUCUUAUGUUCUCACGCGUGUAUUAUCUAUUAUGUGAAUUAGGUCUAGG